GUAAGCGGAUGACAGAGGAGCUUGCUCCUCUAGAUUCAGCGGCGGACGGGUGAGUAACACGUGGGCAACCUGCCCUGUANAUUGGGAUAACUCCGGGAAACCGGGGCUAAUACCGAAUAAUCCUUCGGACCUCAUGCUCCGAUGUUGAAAGGCGGCAUCUCGCUGUCACUACAGGAUGGGCCCGCGGCGCAUUAGCUAGCUGGUGAGGUAACGGCUCACCAAGGCCACGAUGCGUAGCCGACCUGAGAGGGUGAUCGGCCACACUGGGACUGAGACACGGCCCAGACUCCUACGGGAGGCAGCAGUAGGGAAUCUUCCACAAUGGACGAAAGUCUGAUGGAGCAACGCCGCGUGAGUGAAGAAGGUUCUCGGAUCGUAAAACUCUGUUGUGAGGGAAGAACAAGUACCGGAGUAACUGCCGGUACCUUGACGGUACCUCNUUAGAAAGCCACGGCUAACUACGUGCCAGCAGCCGCGGUAAUAC
rnacentral:rRNA from 1 species